rnacentral:lncRNA from 1 species
GGGGACAGGGAUGGAUGGGGAUGGGGACACACUGAGGACAGGGACAUGACAAGGACAGGGAUGGGGACACAAUGGGGACAGGACAGGGCUAGGAUGGGGACAGGGACAGCGAGGACAUGGCCGGGCAGCAGCGUCACCGUGCGCUGGGGCUGUCACCCCCCCGCCACGGCCAUCCGUCCCCACAUGUCCCCAUGCCCAGGAGGGAGCCACCGUCCCCGCGUGUCCCCACACCCUGCUGAGCCCCGCCCAACUCGCCGCAGCCGUGGAGCCGCCCGGUGCUGAUUGUCACUGCAUGUCCUCGUCCCCCCGCAGCUCCAGGGACCUUCUCCGGGCCGUGUCCCCGUGGUGGCCCUCUGUGUCCUGUCCCUGUGGCGUCCUGCCCUGCCGUAGCCGUGUCGUGUCCCUCCGUGUCACCCCAUGCCGUGUCCUGUCCCCAUGCCGCGUCUCUCCGAGCCAUCUCUCUGUGCCGUGUCCCCACGUCAUCGCUCCACGUCGUGUCCCUCGGUGCCACAUCUCCGCGCCAUCCCUCGGUGCUACAUCCCCGUGCCAUGUCCUCACGUGCCGUCCCUCCAUGUCACAUCUCCGUGUCGCAUCUCCAUGCCGUGUCCCUGCACUGUCACAUCUCCACGCUGCAUCCCCAUGUCACAUCUCCAUGCCACAUCCCUGCGCUGCAUCACAUCUCCAUGCCACGUCCCUGUGUCACAUCUCCAAGCCACAUCCCUGUGUCACAUUCUCUGAGCCAUGUCCCCACGCUGCGUCACGUCUCCGUGCCACGUCCCCGUGCCACAUCUCCAUACCAUGUCCCCGUGCUGUGUCCCUGCCG